GAGCGAGCGGAACCACAGAUUUACUUCGGUAAUGACGUUGGGAAAGCGAGCGGCGGAUGGGUGAGUAACACGUGGGGAACCUGCCCCUAAGUCUGGGAUACCAUUUGGAAACAGGUGCUAAUACCGGAUAAUAAAGCAGAUCGCAUGAUCAGCUUUUGAAAGGCGGCGUAAGCUGUCGCUAAGGGAUGGCCCCGCGGUGCAUUAGCUAGUUGGUAAGGUAACGGCUUACCAAGGCGACGAUGCAUAGCCGAGUUGAGAGACUGAUCGGCCACAUUGGGACUGAGACACGGCCCAAACUCCUACGGGAGGCAGCAGUAGGGAAUCUUCCACAAUGGACGCAAGUCUGAUGGAGCAACGCCGCGUGAGUGAAGAAGGUUUUCGGAUCGUAAAGCUCUGUUGUUGGUGAAGAAGGAUAGAGGUAGUAACUGGCCUUUAUUUGACGGUAAUCAACCAGAAAGUCACGGCUAACUACGUGCCAGCAGCCGCGGUAAUACGUAGGUGGCAAGCGUUGUCCGGAUUUAUUGGGCGUAAAGCGAGCGCAGGCGGAAAAAUAAGUCUAAUGUGAAAGCCCUCGGCUUAACCGAGGAACUGCAUCGGAAACUGUUUUUCUUGAGUGCAGAAGAGGAGAGUGGAACUCCAUGUGUAGCGGUGGAAUGCGUAGAUAUAUGGAAGAACACCAGUGGCGAAGGCGGCUCUCUGGUCUGCAACUGACGCUGAGGCUCGAAAGCAUGGGUAGCGAACAGGAUUAGAUACCCUGGUAGUCCAUGCCGUAAACGAUGAGUGCUA
rnacentral:rRNA from 1 species